AGAGUUUGAUCCUGGCUCAGAUUGAACGCUGGCGGCAUGCCUUACACAUGCAAGUCGAACGGUAGAGGAGCAAUCCUCGAGAGUGGCGAACGGGUGAGUAAUAUAUCGGAACGUGCCCAGUAGUGGGGGAUAGCCCGGCGAAAGCCGGAUUAAUACCGCAUGAGACCUGAGGGUGAAAGCGGGGGACUCGCAAGAGCCUCGCGCUACUGGAGCGGCCGAUAUCAGAUUAGGUAGUUGGUGGGGUAAAAGCCUACCAAGCCUGCGAUCUGUAGCUGGUCUGAGAGGACGACCAGCCACACUGGGACUGAGACACGGCCCAGACUCCUACGGGAGGCAGCAGUGGGGAAUUU
rnacentral:rRNA from 2 species